CUGUAUAUUCUUCUCCUAGAUGUAUAUCAUAAAUAUUUCAGCAUUUAUUUAAAUGAUGGCUGAUGUUCAACAUUCUGAGCUUGCUCUGCUGGCAAUUCCCUCAGUCUUCAUCCAGGAUAGUCCACCACCUUACAAGUCCUCCUCACUGCAGUACAAGGCCAGAAGACAGCUCAGCUGGGAAAACCAGCUGUAGUCAGAAGUGGGGGAUCCUCACCACCAAGAAGACUAGAUGGAGAGGCUCACCGAUUAUCAGGAUGCUGGUGGGGUCCACGGAGUGGUGAUAUUUUCUUUGAUCUGUCCCCCCCAUCUCUUUUCUCUUUCUUUCUCUUUCUCUGUCUGUCUCUCUCACAUUUACUGUUAAAUAAAAUCCAUACUAUUGACUUUGACAUAUGGUCUUAUUUGCACCUUAAUUCAGGCAGAGGCAUUUCUAAUAAUUUUAAGAACUGGACCAAAACAAAGGAGCAUCAUGUUUUCAUCUGUGCUGGCAACAGCAGAAGGAUCAUAGAUAUCACUAAACUCCCCUGUGCUUGCACCACUUAUUUAAUGGAAUUUUUACCAGGGAGUGUUCACUGGAAUUUCAGAGGAAAUAUAGAUUAUCCUCUAAACCUCUAUAUCUGUAAGACAGGGAAUUUUUAUUCCUUCUCUCUCCUUACCUUCAUGCCAUGGCCUCUCCUGCUUUUGCAGUCCUGCUAGUGUUGGCUCUUCCUUUAGCAUUUCCACCAUGUCUCUUUUCUGCAGAGAAGAACUCUGCACCAGGGGGUUGGUUUUAGGUAGUGGCAAAGGGGAUAUAAGGUCCUGGAACUUCAGAGCUUAACUAAAGCUUGUUCAAGCCAAUCAGUAAUUUUGGCCAUGUGGUUUUAGAAGGUUUUUUUAAAUAAAAAUUAUUGUGCAACAGG
rnacentral:lncRNA from 13 species